UGAGAUUGCCAUUGUUGGGGAAGUUUGAGUUCACAAGGUGAGAGAGAUGAGAAGAAGACGAGCUUCUGUUUUGCUUUUUUUUCGUUUCCAUUUUUCUGUUUCCUUUUUUUAAUUUUUUAAUUCUUUUUUUUAAGUUGUUUUUUAACAGAGAUAAAAAAAAAACAUAAAAAUGGUUAUAUGUUAUUUAUUUUUUGUUUUAGCCGGUUCAUAUACUUAAGGUAGUAUUUCAGUAGCAUAUGAUCUUGAGUGGUCUGGUGGAGAGAAGUGAUUUCAUGGUCUUGAGUGGGGUGGGUUCAAUACCCGGGUUUGUUGCUUUGGUUUUCCAGCAUUUUUUGAUCUUUCCAUAUUUUUCUAGCCUUACCAUUUAACUAACAUGUUUCUAUCAUUUAUUCAUUUUUAUUGUUUUAUUUUUAAUAUGACUUAUGUGAUUAUUCAUUUUUUUUUAGGAUCUAUGUGAAUUAUUAUAUUUGUGUUUGUUCAUUUCAUUUGUACAAAUUAUUUGCCUUUAUGUGUGGGUUAUGUUACAAUCCUGAUAAAUCAUCACAA
rnacentral:lncRNA from 1 species